GGAAGCGUGGCAGAGUCCGGCCUAUUGCACCGCGUUGCUAGCGCGGAGUGGGAAACCACCGGGGGUUCAAAUCCCUCCGCUUCCG
rnacentral:tRNA from 1 species